GAUAAAUUUAAGGGCAAGUUGGUCUGCGGCUUUCUCGACGGCUGUCAUGUGGAAAUGGAGUAUUGCGCCUUGGUGACUGUCAAUUGUGGCCGUAUACUCCACCAUAAACACAUGAUUUUGGUAAAGAACGAGGGCAGGUGCGGAGUUCGUGGACACAGGUGCCAGACUAUGGAUUUCUAAGUUCUGGCGGAGGCUAUCCGCAUUUAUUGAUUGAUGCAAUGAUUACAUUUUAAAGUGCUUAAUCUGAGUGUUUGUGUGAUGUUUGAGCUUAUUAAAACUUGACAAUAUGACCGGUGAAA